CUAAACGCCAACGGUUUUUCUGCCAAAUAGAAAGACUUCCAUUAUAUAAAUUCCCCACAUCCACGUGUCCGUCUCACCAGUCAACCCCACCAUCAUUUUCUCACCAUUCCUCCACGUGUCAUCCAUCUACACAACCAAUAAAACGCAUCGUUUUGAGUCAUCUUCCUCCUAUAAAUACUCACUAAAAUCAAAACCCUCUCCCCCUAUCUCUGCUAUUUCAAAACCAAAAAAAAAAAAAUUCUAGAUUCUGUUUGUUUCUCGAGAAAAUUAAAGAAAAAAUGACAGUGAAACCGAUUCAAGAAACGCAAUCUCAUCUCGAGAUUCAAGAAAAAUCAGCGGAGAUCAUAGCUAAUGAAAAAUCUUUAGAGAAUUAUAAGUGGAGAUCGAGGAGAUGGUCGACUGGGGAUUAUAAUCCAAUCAAAAAAUUAGGGAUUGUUCAUAGCCAAGUAUUGAGGAUUAGAGAGGAAGAUUUACAUCUUGGUGAAGAUUUAAUUAACGGAUUAUUGAGUACUGCCGUCGCUAAAGAUACCCAACAGCGACAACAGCUGGCUUCGGCCCUUGAUUUGGUGUUUUUAGCGUCAAGAUCGCCUAAUUUGCCGUCUUCUCCUCUUAGCGGCAACAAAACCACCGUCGUUAAAAGUUUAGCCUUAAAAGAAUGAAUUAAAGGAAGAUGAGACAUGGAACUAGCUUAGAAGAUGCAAAAGAAAGAAUGAUGUGAAAAUUUGAGAUAGUUUUAGAAGUUUGGGUGAUAUGGGUUUUUAACCUGGUUAGAUGUUUGGGUGAAAUGGGUUUCUAACCUGGUUAGAUGUUUGGGUGAAAUGGGUUUUUAACCUGGUUAGAUGUUUGGGUGAAAUGAGUUUUUACCUGGUUAGAUGGUUUGGGUAAAAUGGGGUUUUUACCUUCUUUCUUAGAAGACAUUAGGAUUGGUAAUUGGUAAGCUAGUGAGUUGUAGUAGUAGUGAGAUAAUUUUGUCUUUUUUUACCUUCUCUUAAUGUACAGUGAAGAAAGUUACCACUAGUUUAAAAAUAUGUGAUUAAGUCUCUUGUUUUCUAAA